rnacentral:rRNA from 1 species
UACGGGGGGAGCAAGCGUUGUUCGGAUUUACUGGGCGUAAAGGGCGCGUAGGCGGUCGUGACAAGUCACUUGUGAAAUCUCCGGGCUUAACUCGGAACGGUCAAGUGAUACUGUCGGACUAGAGUACAGAAGGGGCAACUGGAAUUCUCGGUGUAGCGGUGAAAUGCGUAGAUAUCGAGAGGAACACCAGUGGCGAAGGCGGCUCACUGGUCCAUUACUGACGCUGAGGUGCGAAAGCGUGGGGAGCAAACAGG